rnacentral:rRNA from 1 species
CCUACGGGAGGCAGCAGUAGGGAAUUUUCGGCAAUGGGGGGAACCCUGACCGAGCAACGCCGCGUGAACGAAGAAGUUAUUCGUAAUGUAAAGUUCUUUUAACAGGGAAGAAAGAUAAAUCUGACGGUACCUGCCGAAUAAGCUCCGGCUAACUACGUGCCAUCAGCCGCGGUAAUACGUAGGGAGCGAGCGGUAUCCGGAAUUAUUGGGCGUAAAGGGUGGGUAGAUGGCAUAGUAAGUCUUUUGUAAAAAUGCUGGGCUCAACCCAGUAGGGCAAAAGAUACUGCAAGGCUAGAGUAUGACAGAGGCAAGUGGAACUAGAAGUGUAGCGGUAAAAUGCGUAAAUAUAGGUAAGAACACCAGUGGCGAAGGCGGCUUGCUGGGUGGAAACUGACGUUGAGGCACGAAAGCGUGGGGAGCGAACAGGAUUAGAUACCCGAGUAGUC